GAUGAACGCUGGCGGCGUGCCUAAUACAUGCAAGUCGAGCGAACGGACGAUAAGCUUGCGUCGCUGAUGUUAGCGGCGGAGGUGUGAGUAACACGUGUAUAACCUACCUAUAAUACUGGUAUAACUUCGGGAAACCGGCUCUAAUACCGUAUAAUAUUUUGAACCGCAUGGUUCAAAAGUGAAAGACGGUCUUUCUGUCACGUAUAGAUGGAUCCGCGCUGCAUUAGCUAGUUGGUAAGUUAACGGCUUACCAAGGCAACUAUGCAUAGCCGAACUCAGAGAGUGAUCGGCGACCCUGGAACUUAGACACGGACCAGAGUACUACGGGAGGCACCAGUAGGCAACCUGACGCAGUGGGCGGAAACAUGACGGAAUGGCCGCGAGUCAGUGAUGAAGGUCUUCGGAUCGUAAAACUCUGUUAUUAGUGAAGAACAUAUGUGUACGUAAAUGUGGCCAUAUUGACGGUAACUAAUAAGAAAGCCACGGCUAACUACGUG
rnacentral:rRNA from 1 species